AGAGUUUGAUCCUGGCUCAGGAUGCACGCCGACGGCGUGCUUAACACAUGCAAGUCGAGCGAAGCACUUAUGAAAGAUUCUUCGGAUGAUUUCAUUUGUGACUGAGCGGCGGACGGGUGAGUAACGCGUGGGUAACCUGCCUCAUACAGGGGGAUAACAGUUGGAAACGACUGCUAAUACCGCAUAAGCGCACAGUACCGCAUGGUACCGUGUGAAAAACUCCGGUGGUAUGAGAUGGACCCGCGUCUGAUUAGCUAGUUGGUGGGGUAACGGCCUACCAAGGCGACGAUCAGUAGCCGACCUGAGAGGGUGACCGGCCACAUUGGGACUGAGACACGGCCCAAACUCCUACGGGAGGCAGCAGUGGGGAAUAUUGCACAAUGGGGGAAACCCUGAUGCAGCAACGCCGCGUGAGUGAAGAAGUAUUUCGGUAUGUAAAGCUCUAUCAGCAGGGAAGAAAAUGACGGUACCUGACUAAGAAGCCCCGGCUAACUACGUGCCAGCAGCCGCGGU
rnacentral:rRNA from 1 species